rnacentral:rRNA from 1 species
UUUAGUGGCGGACUGGUGAGUAACACGUAAGAAACCUGCCUAUUAGAGGGGAAUAACAACGAGAAAUCGUUGCUAAUACCGCAUAAGCUAGUAGUACCGCAUGGUACAGCUAGAAAAGGAGAAAUCCGCUAAUAGAUGGUCUUGCGUCCGAUUAGCUAGUUGGUGGGGUAACGGCCUACCAAGGCAACGAUCGGUAGCCGAGCUGAGAGGCUCAACGGCCACAUUGGGACUGAGAUACGGCCCAGACUCC